UGUCGGUACCUGUUGUCACUAGGGCGGAAAAACAGCGGCAAUAAAGUAGGAAAACUAGUGUGCCGUAGUAAUAUUUUCUUUUACCUUCUUAUUCUUAAUCUGUGUUGAAAUGACGAAGAGACAACUUAGCGAGUCUCUCUGUGACUGUUAUUUUGUCAUAUCUACGAUUCAGCUGGUUGUUUACUUCAUUUCUCAACUGAAAGAAAUUAAUUCCACUGUAGAAGACAUGUGUACACAACAUUUGUUUCUUGCAAGCAAAAGAUAACUACUGAUAUAAUGUCAAAGCCACAAAGAUUAUAGAUUCCGUGAUUUCUUUCACUAUGAGAAAUGUUGUGAUGCGAUUAGUGUCAGAAAAUUUGAACCAAACUUGUGAAUCCAAAGCUUUGGUAAAUAUCAAAACUUGUCAUGUAAAAAGACCUAAUUUCUCACAUAUUGGAUAUAGAUUUCAGACUAAUGAAGCUACAUUGCAUGUUUCCUGUAAGGUAUGGAAGAAAAUAUUUGUAGUGAUACUUUCCUCUUAAAACCUUCUUAUUAAAAGCAUUUUAGAGGCUUAAUUGCUGCAAAUGUAAAACAGUAACUCAUUAAA